AUUCCGGGGGAUGCGGUAGGUGGAAUUCGGCGCGAAAAGACAUUGCUUUCCCCGGGAGCUCUUUAGUCGUCUAGGAGAUGUGCGUUUUCAACUGUGUCUACCAUCUUUUAAAAGAAGGAAGAGAAAAGAGCAAAGCUUGCAGAGGCUGCAGAGAGGAGACAAAAAGAGGCUGCAUCUCGGGGAAUUUUAGAUGUUCAAUCUGUGCAAGAAAAGAGAAAGAAAAAGGAAAAAAUAGAAAAACAAAUUGCUACAUCUGGGCCCCCACCAGAAGGUGGACUUAGGUGGACAGUUUCAUAAAGCAUAACGUGAGUAGAAGAAUCUACUGCCAAUAACUGUUUAUUAUCUGCAAUCAAGUGGACUUCAUCAAUUUAAUUUCUUCUCUUUAAGUAAAUGAAGAUUCAGACUUUGUAAUAUUAUUGCCCUUAAGUGCAAUGCUAAAAAAAGUUGAUUUUCAAGCUUAGAGAAUGGCUAGACUUUUCAUUAAAUACUGAUUUUCCUACAUUUGCUCUUCUGCAGUUAGUGGGUGAUUUGCUAUUUUUCUUAGUAGU
rnacentral:sRNA from 1 species